UGGGGGAUAUUGCAUAAUGGGCGAAAGCCUGAUGCAGCGACGCCGCGUGGGGGAUGAAGGCCUUCGGGUUGUAAACUUCUUUUGCUCUGAACAAGGCGCACCAUGGGGUGUGUUGAGUGUAGGGGUUGAUUAGCGCCGGCUAACUACGUGCCAGCAGCCGCGGUAAUACGUAGGGCGCGAGCGUUGUCCGGAAUUAUUGGGCGUAAAGGGCUUGUAGGUGGCUGGUUGCGUCUGUCGUGAAAGCUCAUGGCUUAACUGUGGGUUUGCGGUGGGUACGGGCUGGCUUGAGUGCAGUAGGGGAGGCUGGAAUUCCUGGUGUAGCGGUGGAAUGCGCAGAUAUCAGGAGGAAUACCGGUGGCGAAGGCGGGUCUCUGGGCUGUUACUGACACUGAGGAGCGAAAGCAUGGGGAGCGAACAGG
rnacentral:rRNA from 1 species